rnacentral:rRNA from 1 species
UUCGUAGGGGGCCAGCGUUGUUCGGAAUUACUGGGUGUAAAGGGUUCGUAGGCGGUGCGGCAAGUUGGGAGUGAAAUCUCUGGGCCCAACCCAGAGAUGGCUUCCAAAACUGCUGUGCUUGAGUGUGAGAGAGGCUCGUGGAAUUGCAGGUGUAGCGGUGAAAUGCGUAGAUAUCUGCAGGAACACCCGUGGCGAAAGCGGCGCGCUGGACCACUACUGACGCUGAGGAACGAAAGCUAGGGGAG